CCUCUGGAGGACCCAGCACUGUGAGCCCUGGAGAGCAGGAGGAGGAGCAAGAGGCAGAGAAGAAGGCGGCGACAAAAGAGGAUGUGAUGGCAUCCGGGGCAGUGACACAGGAAGGUGUGAUUCUGGACCGGUUCCCCAAAACCCGCCCCGGGAAACCCUAGUUCCGGCGAGGGUUCGCUUUGGCCUGGUAGGUCAUGUAUUCCAUGAGAGCAAGGAUCAGGCAAAUCAUUCCAGUGGACAGUAAUCUUGGUCAUUCACUUUGUAUGGAGUGAAAUAACGCCUGACAUUUGGAUAUACAGUGAAUCCUGGCAGUGGCGAAUGUCUUGGCUCAUUGGACAGAGGCAUAGAAAGAGCAAUGCUGGAAUAGCAGUGGCAAGGAUGUGUGGGAAAGAUAUGUCGAUGGACCACUUGGAAGGGGCAGAUCUUUGUGUUUCAAAUGAACAUCUGCCAAAGAACAUCUAUUGCAGAGGAGAUUCUCAACAGCCAGGUGGAUAAGAUGGGCUGUCCUGUGGAUGUCAGCAUCCUUUCUCCUUGGCUGCUCCCCUACUCGUGCAAGGGGCCCAUGGACUGGUAGUUACAUAGGCAAGGGUGGAGGCUGUGUGGACCUGGCAGCAUGGACUUCCGGUUAUUUUCCACUGUGAUGGUUGGUUUCCAUGGUUGAUUAAGCUACUGCCGCUGCAAAGUGCCCAAGGAGAGAACAGCUGAGACCAAUGCUGAUAUAUUACCAGUGACUGAAGGGACACUAGCCAGCCACCUUGUUGCAAGUUAAUUGCAUUGGGCCUCCUCCGCCUUGGAGGCAAUAGUGAGAUCCCUUGAAGGAAUCAAUACGUCAUUCAAUUUUGGGUCUGCCUUGCCUGCCUGCACUGCCUAACCAAUCUUACUGCUUCCUCUUUUUUGUCACACUCCAGUAAACUCUUUACACUCAUAACUCAGUUUCAGCUUCUGCUUCCUAAAGAAUGCAAUCUGUGUGGGACUGGC